GUAGGGAAUAUUGGACAAUGGGCGAAAGCCUGAUCCAGCCAUGCCGCGUGAUAGAUGAAGGCCCUCUGGGUUGUAAAUAUCUUUUAUCUGGGAAGAAACUCCUCUAUUCUUAGAGGCCUGACGGUACCAGAGGAAUAAGCACCGGCUAACUCCGUGCCAGCAGCCGCGGUAAUACGGAGGGUGCAAGCGUUAUCCGGAUUCACUGGGUUUAAAGGGUGCGUAGGCGGGUUGAUAAGUCAGUGGUGAAAGCUCCGGGCUUAACUUGGAAACUGCCAUUGAUACUGUCAAUCUUGAAUGUCGUAGAGGUAAGCGGAAUGUUGCAUGUAGCGGUGAAAUGCUUAGAUAUGUUACAGAACACCAAUUGCGAAGGCAGCUUACUAUGCGAUAAUUGACGCUGAGGCACGAAAGCGUGGGGAGCAAACAGGAUUAGAAACCCCUGUAGUCC
rnacentral:rRNA from 1 species